UAGGGAAUCUUCCGCAAUGGACGCAAGUCUGACGGAGCAACGCCGCGUGAGUGAAGAAGGAUUUCGGUUCGUAAAACUCUGUUGUUAGAGAAGAACAGCGCAUAGAGUAACUGUUAUGCGUGUGACGGUAUCUAACCAGAAAGCCACGGCUAACUACGUGCCAGCAGCCGCGGUAAUACGUAGGUCCCGAGCGUUGUCCGGAUUUAUUGGGCGUAAAGCGAGCGCAGGCGGUUAGAAAAGUCUGAAGUGAAAGGCAGUGGCUCAACCAUUGUAGGCUUUGGAAACUGUUUAACUUGAGUGCAGAAGGGGAGAGUGGAAUUCCAUGUGUAGCGGUGAAAUGCGUAGAUAUAUGGAGGAACACCGGUGGCGAAAGCGGCUCUCUGGUCUGUAACUAACGCUGAGGCUCGAAAGCGUGGGGAGCGAACAGG
rnacentral:rRNA from 1 species